rnacentral:pre_miRNA from 2 species
UCCUGUAGCCAGUCAGAAAUGAGCUUAUUCAUAAAAGUGCAGUAUGGUGAAGUCAAUCUGUAAUUUUAUGUAUAAGCUAGUCUCUGAUUGAAAUGUGCAGCAGCUGUCUUC